rnacentral:rRNA from 1 species
GGGUUGUGAGGUUAAGCGACUAAGCGUACACGGUGGAUGCCCUGGCAGUCAGAGGCGAUGAAGGGCGUGCUAAUCUGCGAUAAGCGCCGGUAAGGUGAUAUGAACCGUUAUAACCGGCGAUACCCGAAUGGGGAAACCCAGUGUGAUUCGUCACACUAUCAUUAACUGAAUCCAUAGGUUAAUGAGGCGAACCGGGGGAACUGAAACAUCUAAGUACCCCGAGGAAAAGAAAUCAACCGAGAUUCCCCCAGUAGCGGCGAGCGAACGGGGAGGAGCCCAGAGCCUGAAUCAGCAUGUGUGUUAGUGGAAGCGUCUGGAAAGGCGCGCGAUACAGGGUGACAGCCCCGUACA